rnacentral:miRNA from 1 species
CUCCAUCCUAAAUUAUAAGACAUU